CCUACGGGUGGCAGCAGUGGGGAAUAUUGCACAAUGGGGGAAACCCUGAUGCAGCGACGCCGCGUGAGUGAUGAAGUAUUUAGGUAUGUAAAGCUCUAUCAGCAGGGAAGAAAAUGACGGUAUCUGAUUAAGAAGCCCCGGCUAACUACGUGCCAGCAGCCGCGGUAAUACGUAGGGGGCAAGCGUUAUCCGGAUUUACUGGGUGUAAAGGGAGCGUAGGCGGCAGCACAAGUCUGGAGUGAAAUGCCGGGGCUUAACCCCGGAACUGCCGUUGAAACUGUGCAGCUAGAGUGCGGGAGAGGUAAGUGGAAUUCGUGGUGUAGCGGUGAAAUGCGUAGAUAUUAGGAGGAACACCGAUGGCGAAGGCGGCUUACUGGACUGUAACUGACGUUGAGGCUCGAAAGUGUGGGGAGCAAACAGGAUUAGAUACCCGGGUAGUC
rnacentral:rRNA from 1 species